UCAGGACGAACGCUGGCGGCGUGCCUAACACAUGCAAGUCGAACGGAGUAUUCAGCUGAAAUUUCGGAUGGAAGUUGAAUAUACUUAGUGGCGGACGGGUGAGUAACGCGUGGGCAACCUACCCAUAAGCGGGGGAUAACAGUUGGAAACGGCUGCUAAUACCGCAUAAACUAUAGAGGUUGCAUGACCUUAAUAGUAAAGAUGGCCUCUUAACAAUGCUAUCACCUAUGGAUGGGCCCGCGUCUGAUUAGCUAGUUGGUGGGUAAAAGCCUACCAAGGCAACGAUCAGUAGCCGGCCUGAGAGGGUGGACGGCCACACUGGGACUGAGACACGGCCCAGACUCCUACGGGAGGCAGCAGUGGGGAAUAUUGCGCAAUGGGGGCAACCCUGACGCAGCGACGCCGCCGUGAGCGAAGAAGGCCUUAGGGUCGUAAAGCUCUGUUUUAAGGGACGAAUGUUCAUGUUAGUAACUGAGCAUGGAGUGACGGUACCUUAAGAGGAAGCCCCGGCUAACUACGUGCCAGCCGCCGC
rnacentral:rRNA from 1 species